rnacentral:lncRNA from 1 species
UGGUGGGGUUUCAGGCCAGGCAUCCAUGGCAUAUCAGAGCUGGAUCUUAAUUUCUCAACAAAUCAUAGAACUCUUGUGUUGUGUCGAUUCAGACUGGACUUUCAUUCGAGUCUUCCAUUUUCACAUCAGUUUGUUUAUCAGGCUCCCCUGUGGGUUCAUUGUUUUUAUUAUCUUCUUCCUUUGUAUCAUCAGUGUGAAUAUCCAAAACUACGGGGUGAACUUCAGAGGCACCUAAUGUGGUAAGGACGACAUUGAUGCUUUUCAUUUGUUCAGCUGGUAGCUUCUUUUCCUCUAUGUUAACCUUUUCACUGUGUCUGUAAAUGGCGUAGAGAAGCAUCUGGAGCAUCCCCAAGAUGAAGCCUAGUACAUUAGGGAGCUGUCAAAUCAAAUCACAAACAACAACAAAAAAGAAUCAAUCUAUUUGUGGCUUCAAGUGAAAGUGAAGGGCGAAAUAAUAAAUAAAUGGUGUCCCACAAUAUUGAACUUACAGCUACACAGAGGUCCUUAAUAAAUAGUCCAUAAGCAAACCACAUUACUGCACUCAAUGUGAGGAAAAAUGAUAAGGUGAAAGGCAUGAACUCAACGCUCUUUGUUCGUAUAACUCGUGCCUGCAUGGAGAACAUAAUUAGAAAUUAAAGAAACUUAACUAGUUAAUUAAUCCGCAAUUAGAAAACGGGAUACUCACCAUAAUGUUUAAGGGUGCUGCAAAGACGGAUACAGAGAUGGCAACACAAAUCCAGCCAAGAACUUGGACGCGAAUCGAGCUUUUCAGCAGAAAGUGUGUGAGGAUGAGAAUGAAAGAGAAGAGCCCCAGGUUCAUUGAUAUAAAAAGUUUCAUAGCCGACAUCUGCCAAUUUCCAUACGUGAAUACCAUGUGAAUAAUUAUUUUAAUAUUUAAUAUAUAGAGAGAGAGAAGUACUCACCCUGCUAUUCUUUGAAGCAUAAGCCAAGAACAUAGAUAUAUAAAUAGUCUCAACAACACAUCCAAAAGCGUUGAUGGUGAUCAGAAGGAAAGCACCCUUUUUAAUCAACGCGUAAUACAGCCAUAGCAUGCAACUGAACAAUGCAACCUGGUAUGGCAGUGACUGGAAACUCUCAGUCGAUUUCUUUUUGUAAAUCCGACAGAAUGUUGGCCUGCAAUUAUUAUUCAUAUUAAUAAGAAAGGGUUAUUCACGUUAUUAUUCGUCACCCUUGAUAUAUAUCGGUCAUUUAAGAGCCAUUGAUGCUUACACUGGUGCCAGAAAUACGAGGACUGAGAUGAUGUUACCUGCAAUCAAUUGAAAACAACUUCAUUGGUUAUUUAUAAAGUUUUUUAAUUCACUGUUCAACUUUAAAAGAAAAUUAAAAAUCUUGUAAAGAAGCAUUCAUGCAUAUACAUAGGUACUGUAUGGUUGGGGGAGGUGGAUCAGUAUCAUUUAGGUGACAACACUAAAUUUUUGAAAGCGAAAUAAUUUAUUCUACUUUUUUGUUAAACAGAAAAACUACAAAUAACCAAACAUUAAUCAAUGUACUAUUAGGUAAUAAAAAUUGGAGCCACUUCUAACAAAGACACUUGUUUGAUAUAUGUACCAAACCAAAAUAAUGAAGAACCUAAACCAGACCCUAGCGUGUAAUAUGAAACUGAAAUAACUUGCAACACAAGGGAACCCUGAAACUGUCUCUGUAUGACCAUCACACCAAUAUGCAAAGAGUUAUGAAAUGAAAGAGAAGGAGGAAGAAAAAAGGAAGCUAGCUUGUGAGCAUCCUAGUAGUAUAUUACCUAAUAUACCAAAAACAACAGCCAGGGAAUGGUGAUCCGCCAAUACUGCCAUCUCUCUUGUGUUUUGUUUUUUUGAGAGGGAGAGAGGAACCCUAGCUGCUAUUUUCUCACACACACUCUCUAGCUUAGAGGCUUUUGCUCAUGAGGGGUUGAAAGGAAGGGGUGAGAGAGGGGGGAUUUAUAUACGAGGGGAGAAGGUGGAGGAUGGUAAAUUGGUGAUGUAAGCUUUAUUAUUCCUUUUUGUGUAUGCGCAUUUAACUCCUUUUUUAUUGUAUGACAAGUGCAAAUGCUUAGCACAAAAAUCAAAAUUUUUUUGAACCCCCUCUUAAUUUAUUUUUAACCAAAUUAACCCACGUGGCUCAUUAGUCGCAUCUCCAGUUUUCCAACCUAAUUGACUUCGUAUCUACAAAUCAUUUUCUGUAUUUUUCACUCCAGCAUUAAUGUUCCUUCUUAAUUCCAUGAAAUAUCUUCCUUCAAUGUACUUAAUAAAAAAAAUUUCAUUGAAACAUAAUGCGAUAAACAGUACAAUCAUAAAUUUGGGUUAAUGUAUAAUAUAAUAUCUUUAUUUUAAAAACAAGAUGUAGUGAUAAAUCCAUGCAAUUUUGGUCAAAUAUUGUAGAAUAAAAAAGAGAGAGAGAGAGACGUGUUUUUCACUUGGAAGUUAAAAUUUAAAAAUGUGAGAAAAGGGAAGACCCACGCGCCAAGAACAAGGGUGGUGGGGCAAAUUCAUUUACGUUACACACACAUACACCGCAAAGGUGUCUAUCCAAAAGCCUCAAUUCUCGUGAAGCUUUCAAAAACCGUUUCCCUCUCCCUUCUAUUUUGUUUCUUUGGCCACCCAUAUUUUAUUUGUUUUUUUCUUCAGCAUAAUAUCAGAUUUAGUCCUUAAUAUUCAUAUAUUUUUCUAAUUCAGUCCUUAUUUUUCUUAAAUUAGAUUUGACCCUCAAUUUUAAAAAGAAAAAAGAUUAAAUUUUUAAAUAUAACAACGUGUAUAAAUUUUUUAAACUUAAAAAGAGUAAAGAGUAGACACCCUAUUACGCGUCAGCCCUAAAAAUCCUCUCUGAAAAAAUAAAUUUUUUGUUUGAUUGAUUGCGUUGCAGUUGUGUUGAGAGCAGCAAAGUUUUCGUGUGGCAAAUGAGAAUCUUGACUUUUUUCUCCUUCAAGUCUUCUUUUUUAAUUUUGCCUUGCAGUUAUAUGAGGAAAAGGACAAAAAAGUACAUAUGAUCUCUGCCAACAAAUAAUACUAAUAAUGAAAUAAUUGGGGGACGAAUUAAUUUGUCAGGGAAUGCUAGGUGGGCAUAGCUCGGCUUGCUCUACGUUAACGUAUGUCUAUCAAACAAGCAUUCCCUUCUAAUUCUUCUUUCAUUCAUAUAUGAUUUUGGUUUGAUGCAUCACAAUGCUCUAUCACAUUCACCCAACUUGCAAAUCAUUUGGGGGUACCCCACUCCCCAUUGCCUUACCAAAUUACUCUCCUAUUCAUUUUGAUGACAAAAUCAACAUUUCUUUCUUUCUUUUUCUCCUUAUAAAUAUGGAAGGAGUAUAGGGAGUAGGAGCAUAAUUAAGCCUUUAUUUUUUUAGCCCUUGCUUGGCAUCACUCCCUUUUUUUUUCUUGUCUUUUUGGUUGUUGAGAUUGAAAAAGCAGUGGGAAUCAAAUGAAAUGAAUCGUAUUUUUGAGUGCUUAAUAUCAUCAUUAAAAUCUUUUAACUCCCUCAAAUGGACUUUCUAGCAAUGAAAUCGUUGGAAGUGAUUUAAAGCUACAACGCACCAUCGUUUUCAUUUGGCUAAUAAUCAUACUCAUGAUUAAUAUGGGAACAGAUACAACACUCCUCUCGCUCUUCAUCUCAAUCGUAAGGUUCAUGGCGGCCUGCCACCUGCUGGCUGACUAGCCACCUUAAUUUAGCAACCAAAUUAUUGCCAUUUUAAAAAAAAAAAAAAAAAAAACGAAGAAGAAAUUUGUGGAGAGUUCUAAAAAUUGAACGUAUAUGCAAAACGACUGGUAGAUAUUAAACGUGAGGUUUCUCCCAUUCAUAUUUAUCACCAAUAUCCAAAGUAAUUGCUUGAUAUCAGCUCAACACAAAGGACACGCCAUUUGCAUUAUUUAUUAAUUUGUUUUGGAUCUAGAAAUAGACAUUGACAUUCCCAUUCCUCCUAUAAUUGAACUAAGAGUGGGAGAUAUUAUCAUGUUAUUAUUGUAUAUGAAUGAUCUAACCAACUGGUGUUUGAAAGACCCAUUUUGGUGGAGGAUCAUGGCAUGGGGAACUUGUGGCUGCUUUGCCUUGGUUCACUAAGGUCGAGCCAGUUCAGCUUAUAAUUAUUGGCAUGGAGAUUAUGACAAGCACAUCAUAUUAUUGGCAUAUGUGGUGGGGUAACCCACCAUAAAGACGAUUCAAUUUUAGGAGCUCUGGUUAUCUUACAUCAAACUGGGGUCCUAAAUCAGGUGCUCUUUUCGUUUUAGUUUCUUCUUAUCUUCCUUCCUUCACCUUUCUUUUUGGAUUUGCUCUUUGCCUAAUUUUAAACUAAUUUGUUGCUAAUUAUUGUAGAUGUGCCCUUUCAAUUUUUCUUUUUUAAUAGAUUUUAUUGUUACUAGCUACAUAAAGUUAAGAUUACUAAAUCAAUUUUAAGUACAACUAACCCUUAUGCUAUUAUUAUUUUAUUUCUGAAAAGCAAACCUAAUAAUGUAAAGUUAAUAUUUGCAAUUUUGCAUGUGUUCAUUCAAUCUUAUAUUUUUAUUUCAUGUGAUUAAUUUAAAGUAAUAUUAUUAAAAAUGAUUUGAACAUAUUAACUAUUUUUAAAUUACAACAAUAAAAAAACUUCAAACCGUAAUUGAAUCUCAAUCAAAAUAAUACAAUCAACACGAUCUCUGUAAUAGUUAAAUUUGUUGUAGAGUCAGUUUUUUGUGUUAUUUUUACAAUCCAUGAUAGCUUGGAGACGACAUGGUUGGGGAACCCUGAACAAGACCAUAAAAUAGACAUGAAAAAUAUUAAAAAAUAUAUAGUUCUAUUCCUAAGUGAAAAAAAAAUAGUUCAGAUAUUAUUUCAAUAAAACAUUUAAAUUUUAUAUAAAAAAUCUAUUAGUCAUAUUUUAUUAAAUGAAUUACAUUUGUAAAUUUUAUUAAAAAUAUGAAUUAAACUCACUAAUUAAUAUUAUUAGUAUUGUUAAAAAAUAAAGAGACAUGGAGAGAAUAAAGAACAAAGAAGAUAUGAAAGGGAUAGAGAAGGUACUUUAUUGAUCAAAAGGGGUGAUUACAAUACUUCAUCAGAGUCUCUGUUUAUAGGCAUAAGAAGUACAAAAGAAGUAGAGAUCUAAUUCUAAUAACCAUUAGGAUUUAAAGUACAUUAAAACUUUAUCUUGAUCAUGAUGGACAUCAACUUAAUAAGAUAUUCAUAACAUUCCCCCUUAGAUGCCCAUUCGUAAAUAAUGUGCCUCAUCAAAACCUUAUUAGGAAAAACCCUAUGGGAUAAAAACUUAAUGAAGGAAAAAGAGUACACAAUCUAUAAUACGCAAAAUAUGCAGCCUCAUUAAAAACCUUACCAGGAAAACUCAAUGGGACAAAACCUCGAUUAAGGGAAAAAGAUCGUGCAACACAUAUUUACUUCCCCUCAUGAAAGCAUCACAUAUUUUCUCAUAUUCUACAUAUUCAAGCUUGAAUACUAGUUUUUCAAAUUACUAUUUGAAUAUAUUUACUAAGCAUUUAUAUUGUCAUUCUUUUAAAAGUCAUGAGUGAGAGAAAUUUGGGGAAAUAUAUUUUGAUCUCUCCAAGAGAUUCAACAAUAAUCAUAAUAAACUUUAAUCAUGAUUCUUUUAUAAAAACACAAAUAUAUAUUUUGGAUAAUUUUAUAAUCCUCCUUCAACUACUAUUCACUAAGUCAAAUUUACCUCAUAUGUUCAAAUUAUUUCAAUUCAUAUAAAUGAACAAUUUCUCGAGAAUUUCAAUAUGUUUCUAGCAUCCUAAAUCCUUCAAUGAUUUUAAUAUAAACUUUACUGUAUAGUGAUUCAUAAAAGGUUGUAACAAUAAUCAUUAGACGCAACUUAAAUCUUUUAUAAAUUGUCAAUUUAAUAAUAUAUCUAAAGGUUAUUGCAUCCACCACAACAGAAUAUUAUAUCUUUUCAUAAUUAAUGGCAGGACUUAGCGAAAUACUUAUUUUUAUUUCACUUUUGCAAAACUACUUCAAUUGCACCUUCACUGGCUUUAUACAUUUAGAUAUUUUGACUAUUGGUCCAAAAACUCUACGAAUUUAAUUGCACUUGAGUUGCGUCUUUCUAUUUUGAUCAAUUUAUUCCUUAUAUAUAUUUCUCAAUAGAUUUAUUCAAGAUCCUCAUUUUAUUUCAUUAUUUCAAUAAUAAUAUUGCAUGAAAAAUCAUUGUCGACCACUUUUAUUAUUCGGUUUCAUAUUUUCUUGAAUUGACAUAACUUAUCAAGAUCUCUUAUUUUAACUAUUUUAAUCUUCAGUUUCAGGUACCUGAAUCUCUUCUGGAGUUUUACUUAUUAGUUAUGUCUUGAGUCUCUUCUGGAGAACCCACCUAUAUGACCAUCUAGAAGAAUUUUCAUCUUCGGAACCGAUCAAUCUAUUAUUUAUUCUAACUAAUUGUCCUACUGAGACUUUUGAUUCAAAUUAAAAUAUUAACUUGGUUAUUCUCAUUAAUUUUGUAAAUACAUCUGAUAGUUAACUUGUAAUGAGUUAUCUUUAUUGAACUUCUGGUUCAAAUUACUCUCCCCCUAACUCAUUACAAGUUAUUAUUUCUCUUCCCCUAAUGUUGAGAAAACUAUCGUAUCAAAAUUGUAAUAACAAACUCAAUAAAAGAUUGAGAUAUAAAAUCAUUAGUAUUAGCAAGAUGAGUUGUCUUAAUUGCAUGAUCUGAAAUUAAUUAUUUAAAUAAGCAAUCUUACAAACGACAGGUUACAAAUUGAUAACAUAUAUGUGAUUAUUUUGUAGAUGCAUAUACCAAAAUCAUAUAAUAUCAAAACCAUCCACAUGGUGGAUGAAUGGACCCAUAUUCGUUUAAAAAAUGCAAGACAUUAAAUCUCAACUUUAGCUAGUGAGUUUCUAAUAAUCAAUUUUCAUUGAGAACAAACAACAUAUGAGAAUUCUUUUAAAUUAAAGAAUCUUUUUGGUUCUUUAAUGAAUGUUAAUAUGAAUUCUUAAUUAAUUUUCGCAUCAUAUAUGAUCUAGGAUGGUCUAACUGGUCACGCUAAGUAGUAAAUGCAUUUGUAUCAAUAAACUUCUAGUUUACUUUAACAUGUGUUUCAAUUGUACUAAAUUGUAACAAAUUAAUAAUUUUACUAUCAUUCUUUCACUUUGUAUCCACAUAUAAGUGCUAUUGUGACAUUUACUACUGGAAAUGUCUAAAUCAAUGUGAAUAUUAUAAUGUCACUAAGUCAACAAAAUAAAUAUAAUUUCCAAACAAUUAUAUACAAUACUAGCGUCAGGGAAUAUGCCAAAAUCUUCAAAUAUCUAAAAAAAAUUGUAACUUCAGGUGCAUUCAAUAAUAACGAGGUUUAGAUAGAAUUAUCAUAUUUUAUUGCUCAUAAAUAGAUCUUUCAUAGUCAAAUAUUUUGCUUCCAACCCCUUAAUAGGGAUGAUGACAAAAGAAUAUCACAAAGAUUAUAAAAUAAAUAUAAAUUAAUAACUCAGUCCUCUCUUUUUCAUCCUUUCAAAAUAGAUAUUAUAGCAAUAGUGGUUCAUAUGAAAUAUAAUAUUUUCCUAAUCCACAAUCUCAAUAUAAGAUCCAUUAUAAAUAUCUUUUAAAACUAAUGGAUUAACCAUCACAAGAUAUUAAUAUAUUAGAUUUUUUUAGAGCUUUCGACUAAUUUUGUACUACCAAAUAUUGGAAUAAUAUUGGUUUUUAUUUUCUUUUAUGCUUGCGUUCACUUCGGGGAAUGCAAUAGAUGUACUAGGACGAACUUAUAAAUGUCUCAAUAGAUUCUUUAUUUCAUAAUUACCAUCGCAAUCAUGCAUGGAUUUCAAAUCAAAAUCUAUCUAUUCAUGUUGUCAUGACUAGUCUCCAAUUAUAAUAAACAUGAUAUAAUAAAUAAAUCAUAGUAAAAUAUACCUGAAGAUUUGAGUAGUUAAAGGCUAUAUGAUUACCCAUUGUGCGCAGGCCUCAAUUGAAGAUUGAAAUUGCAAUAGCUAGCUCUAGAAGGCAAUCAACAACAACUUGAGCAACAGAUUUGGAGUGCCCGUACUAUAAAAUAAAAGAGAAUCGUGCUGAUAACGUGUUAUAAAAUAAAGAGAGAUGGAGAGAAUAAAGAACAAAGAAAAUAUGAAAGCAAUAGAGAAUGUACUUCAUUGAUUUAAAGGGGUGAUUACAAUACUUCAUCAACGUCUCUAUUUAUAGGCAUAAGAAGUAUAAAAGAAGUAGGGAUCUAAUUCUAAUAACCAUUAGAAUUUAAAGUACAUUAAAACUUUAUCUUGAUCAUGAUGGACAUCCACUUAAUAAAAUAUUCAUAACAAAUAUUAAUAUAUUAUAGUUUUUAAAUUUGAAAUUUUUUUAAAAAAAUUAAUACAAUCUAAAUCUCAAAUAUUAUUAUAGUUAUAUAGCAAUCACCUCUCUAUGAUAAGGAAUAAAAAUAAAACUAUUAUAAAGAGGGUUAACUAUAAUGAAAUUCGAACAUUUUAAAUUUUCUAGCUACUAAUUAAAUAAAAAUAUCUAAAUGUUGAAUGCUGAUAAAUUUAUUUUAUAGUGGUUGGUUUUAGUUUUAUACCAUUGAGAUAAAAGUGCAACUCCAAUUUGAAUAAUUUAAAUAAUUGUGAAAGAGUUAUAAUAUAAAGAGAAUUUUGGCCUUAAUAAAAUAUUUUUAUAAUGCUCAAAUUUUAAUAAUAUAAAGUAUUAUUCUAAUGAUAAUAUAGAAGUGAAUUUUGUGGAAGGGGUUUUUUUUAUUAGUUUAAAAGUUUGCUCAAACUUUAGCUUUUAUUUUACAUGUUUUGUAUGUAAUUUUACAUAUUUAAUUUUUGGCUUAAGGUCCAAGAAGUUUUUGAACUUUUCCAAAUAAAUCAAUAAACCUCUUUGAAAAAAAAAACACCUAAUUAAGCCCUUAGACAUUAAAAAUGCAUCGAUUAAGCCUCUGACGGUUUCCAUCACUGCUUGUUACUAUGCUAAUAUGAUUGUUAACAAUCGUUGAAUCAGUCAUCAAGGUGAUGGUGUGACAUUCCACAUCAUGAACAGUGUUACUAACGAGGUAGUGUCAUGUUAACAAAAAAAAUGAAAAGAAUUAUAAAAAUUAUAAAAAUAUUAAAAGAAUUCAAAUCUAGAAUAAAUUUGAACACACGACCACGCCAAUUUGUUUAGCUUCAUUCUAAAUGGUUGACUCAAUAGUCAUUAACAACCACGUCAACAGAGUAAUAAUCAAUACCAGAGAUUAUUAGCCAAAGGGCUUAAUUGAUACUUUUUUAACAUUUAAGUGCUUAGUUAGAUGCAUUUUAAAUGAAGAAACUAGAUUGAUUUUUUUUAGAAAAAAAAAACCCUUAAGCCUUUUUCUUAAUUCAUUAAAUGUUGUAUUAUAGGAAUAAUCUAAAGCAACAUUAUUAAAAAAUAUUAUCUAUUUUAAAUUACAACUAUAAAAAACUUUAAAACGUAACUUAAAUAUGAAUAAAAAUAUGAAUGAAAUUCAAUUUUUUUUCAAAAAAUAGUUAUUAAAUAAGUUCGCCUAAAGGUGAUAACAAUUAACAACCUAUUGAAGUGACAUCACCUAGAUAUAAAAUUGUCCAAAGAAUUUAUAUUUGAAUUCAAAUUGGACGGUCUAUAAAAGCAUUCAUGAAAGAGAGAAAUAAAAAAUCAGCAUUUGUGAACAGCUUGGGGGAACAUGGGAGGAAAGCAAACAAAAGCUUUGGUCCCAACAUAAUGCUUUUUUUUCACUUUUUAUCUUUUGCUUGGUUGUGCCUCUGGUUUCGUAAGAAAUUGAAACGUUUUAGGGGAGGUAAGCAUGAUCACUUUGUGUUUAAUUAUUAUUAUAUAAAUAAAAGAGUGAAGGAAAAUUUUAAUCAGAAAUCAUGACUAAAUUGAGAGGAAUUCUCCACAGUUUGAACUCUGGAGGCCUUUUCAAUUUAGUCCAUAUUGGUUAAAUGCGUGUUUGACCCUUUGCAUGUAUUAUGAACGUGGAUUAAAAGUUGGUACCAAUAAAGAAAAGUAUUGACAUGAGCAGUGUUUGUCCAUGCAUCAACUUUUUCUUUUUUUCAUUAAACCAAUCAUAUACUUCUAAAGUUGUUUCUUUUCAAUGAGGUUUUUUUUUUUUAAUAAAAAAUCAAUUUGGUCCAAGAAAAUCUUAAUUUACUAUUUCAUCCUUACUCUUAGCCAUGUUUAAGGGUUAAGUUAUCUAUCUAAAUUCAAAGGUUUGCAUGAUAUUUGGAGGAUCAGAAUAAAAAUAUUAAGUUUGAAAAUUAAAUUUUGAAAAAAAAAUAUUAGGCCUAUUUAAAAAUUGAUUUGGCUCUAUGUCCGUUUGAUGGUCCAUGUUUAGAGUUUGUGAUUGCCUCUCCCAACAAUGUCAUCUCCAAGGUCCGAAUCUUCGUUUUCUCACUGGGAGUGCAAUGUGUCAUACCACUGCUCUCAACACUUAUUGGUAUGUUUUGAAGUUCAUAAUAUGUUGUUUUUUUUUUAUGUAUUAUUUAAUUUAUAUCAUAUGAAAACUAUAUAUAUUAUGGGUAAACUACACCCAAAGUCACUAAACUAUUCAAAAAUUUUCAUUUAAGUUAUUGAACUAUCUGCAAGUUUUUAUUUAAGUCACCGAGCUAUUAAGUUUUUUAUUUCAAAAUCCAGCCAGCUAGCUCCAAGAGACGAUUCGAUGCUUGAUAUGGUGGAUAAGUACCCAUCGACAAGUAGAAGAACAUACAUCAAAUCCAAGUUAAUAUGACGAUCAGUGUUAAAGGUCAAAGAAAAAAGUUGUUUGGAUUUUGGUUCAUAGAUUCAUGAUAUUCAAAGUUGUUUCAUGAAAAACAAACGAUCUCUAAAAGAAAAGGGGAAGAAGAACUUUCUAUUGGUGUAGGGGGUGCGAAUAGAAAAUGUCAUACAGUAAAUCAACCAGAUGACUUAAAUAAAAACUUUUAAAUAGUUAAGUGACCAUUUUUGUAACUUUUUGAAGUUGAGUGAUAAAAAUAUAAACUUACUAAUAAUUUAGUAACAUUGGGUGUAGUUUAUCCAUAUAUUAUACUAUAAUGUAAAUAUUAAAAAAAGUAUAAAUUGUUUAUAUUUAGAAAUUUAAUGAAAGAAGAAUAUAUAAUAAUAGUAGGAGGGAUGUAUAUCUAUAUAUAUAUAUUUGCUAAAUAUCAAAUAAAGAUAAUAUAUUUAAAAAAAUAAAAAUAAUUAAAUAAAUCCAAAUGGGUGCAUAUUAAUUAUUUACAAAUAUAACAAAAUUGAGUAAAAUUUCAUUUCGAGUUACGUUAAACCUAAACAACUAUGUAAUUUUAAAAGAAUUUUGUUAUAUAUGAUCCUAUUUGAAAGAAAACCAAAUUAUUAACCUAAUUUUUUCAAACAUUAAUGUCAUUAUAGGUUAUUACUUCUUAUCACAUAUAUUCUUUUUUAUACAAUGCCUAGAACUACUCAUAAUUCUUUCUCAAUCCUUAAAUAGGAGGAUAAUGUGUUUCAACGCACUUAAACUCAUAUCAUUUUAUACGGAUAAUAACAUCGAUAUCAAUCGAAUACUACCCCAAACUUUUAGCACCAAUGAUUGAAAGAAAAGCGGAAAGUAAUAACAACAUACCAUCACUAUAUUUUAUUGACAUAAAAAUAACAUAUGAAAAUUUAAUUAGAAACACGUGGCUCUUUAAAUAAUAAAUUAUUAUGAAAGAAAGAGGGAAUUGUGGUCAAAGUAAACUCCUAAAGCAAGAAACUUAAGAAACAAAUGUAGGAAAUAUUUUUAAUGUGAGAUUCGCAUGUGAGAACAUUAAGGGGAAUGAAUCGUAAUUUGAUCAAAACACUUCACAAUUCACUUAAUCUAUCAUUUUUUUUUAUGUCCGUUGUUUUAGACCAUUCGGAGCUAGUUUUCUUAUCAUAUUAAAUGUUUAUAAUCACUCUGAAUAUGUUAUGCUUGAGUUGUAACAGAGCCAAUUGAUAACGUAUCAUAAUAUUCUAUUAAUACUGAACCUAAAGCUUUUAUUGUGUUAAUAAAACUCGUCCCUCAAUAUAUACGAGUAUUUAUUUUUUUUCCUCAAUUAUAUAAUCUCAUUUAUUUAAUUUAUUUUAAAAAAAGAAUUAUUAUCCCAUAAUUUCUUUUUAACAUAUCACCAUUUGUCAAUUGUCUAAAUCAUGAUAUACGCAUAAUUACCACUUUUGGUACCAUAUACACAUGACAUGACUAAUCAAUAAAUGCAUAAGAGUGAGAAAAUUUCUUCCAAAUUCAAUACUAAAAUUAUAUUUGUCAAAUUAACUCAAUUUUGGGUUUUUUAUCAAAAUAAUACAAAAAAAAGAGGCUGAUGGAGGAGAAUAAAAAGGCAGCACCAAUGGUGCCUUUUCCAUAGGCAACACCAAUGGUGCCUUUUCCAUAGGCGGCACAGGACUAAAAUGUAAUGAUCUAAAGUUUCAAGGACCUAAUGUGCAAAUUUACCAUUUUAAAUUUUGAAAGUGAAUUGGUGCCGCCUGGGUGUGGCGGCACUAAAGUUGAAAUGUGACUAAUUGUCUUCUAAGCCCUCCUUAUUUAUUAUUUUCUUUUUAUUCCCCUUCAACUCACUUUUUUAUUUAAUAAACAUGCCUUCAACCUAUUUUUGUAGUUAAAUAAGCUCUUAAUCUAUGAUUUUUAUUCAUAAAAACCCUUUAUUUUAUUAAUAAAGUAAAUAUAUUUUACCUAAAGUAAAGCUAUUUAAAAAAGUAUAAACUAAUUCGCAUUUUAUGUUUAUGUGAAUUUGAUGAGAAUAGUUUAUUAAAUAAAAAAAUUUAUGUUUAUCAAAGGCUUAUAGAUAUAAUAGUCCCUUAAGAAAAAACCAAAAACAGUUACUAAGCCCCUUGACUUAAUUUGAACCCAGUCGAGCCCUUAUCAUUAGCCUGAAAAAUUAAUUAAGCUCUUACAUUAAUAAUUUUCACAUUUCAUUACAUUAACCAUUAAAAUCAAUUAACGGACCAAUUAGAUGAUGAAAUAUGACAGGUUGUGAUUAAAUCUUUCAUAUCUCCGAUAAAAAUCAUAAAAAUAUCUAUCUAUAAUAUAUAUAAAAGCACAAGUCUUGAAAAACUUUUGAACUGAUAAAAAUAUCCUUUAUUGUUAAUUAUAUUACUAAACUAUCCUUUAUUGUUAAUUAUAUUACUAAACUACAUUAGAAUAAUAAUUUAUUAAUAUUAUUAUAUAAUAAUAAAAAGUAAGAUUAAUUAAAAUAAUAAUAUAUUAAUGUGAAAUUAAUUAAUUUGGUCAUAUAUUAUAAAAGCUCUACUUAAAAAAACAUAAUAUAUUAUUAAUUAAUAAAACUAUAAAUCUAUAAAAUCAUUGACUAUAAUUGGAUGAAUUUAAAAUAAUAAGAAUUCAAGUUUUUUAAUUAAAUAAAAAUGUUUUUUAUAUAUAAAUACUCUUUAUAAAUUUAAAAAUAAUUAUAAUUUAAUAGAAGUUGUGAGAAUUAUAUAUUUCAAAAUAAUUAUAAUUUAAACUGCAAUUAUUAUUAAAAAUAUUGUGCUAAUUUUAAAAUAGAAUUGUUAUUUAAAUAGAACUCUAAGCAUAAAAUAUAGGAAAAAGACAAAAAAAUUUGUGAUAAUUAUAAUUAUAAUUUAUUGUUAUUAGUUAAAAAAUUUGAAAGCUACUUUUAUUAAAGUAAAGUAGAGUUAUUACUUAAUUAGAAUUCUAAGUAUCUUAAUUAUCACUUAACUAAUAUUAGAUUUAAUUAAAAAAAUUAAUAGAAAUAUCAGGCAUGUUUUAUUGAAAAACCAAAAAUAAUAAUAAAACUGAUCACCCAUAAAUGUAACCCAAAUAGAAAAAAUAAAUUAUAAUUAUAAACUAUUCUCAUCAAAUUUAGUAAAUUUUUUAUUUAAUAAAUUAUUCUCAUCAAAUUCACAUAAACAUAAAAUAUAUUUACUUUAAUAAUAAAAUAAAGGGCUUUUAUGAGUAAAAAUCAUAGAUUAAGAGCAUAUUUAACUACAAAAAUAGGUUGAGGGCUUGUUUAUUAAAUAAAAAAGUAAGUUGAAGGGGAAUAAAAAGAAAAUAAUAAAUAAGGAGGGCUUAGAAGGCAAUUAGCCACAUUUUAACUUUAGUGUCGCCACACCACAGGCGGCACCCAUUCACUUUCAAAAUUCAAAAUGGUAAAUUUGCACAUCAAGUCCUUAAAACUUUAGAUCAUUACAUUUUAAUCAUGUGCCGCCUAUGAGAAAGGCACCAUUGGUGCCGCCUAUGGGAAAUGCACCAUUGGUGCCGCCUUUUUAUUAUUUUGGUAAAUAAAAAAAUUUUAUAAUAUUUUAGUAUUUUUAUAUUUUUUUUGUAAUAUUUUGGCAAAAAAACCCCUCAAUUUUUCAAACCAAAACGACAAAACCUAAAAGUUGUAGUGUAAUUAAUUUAGGCGGCAAGUUAUAAAUUUAUCCCUCUUUUAUAUUAACUAUUAAAAUUAUUUAAAAUUUAUAUAUUAUAUAUAUAUAUCACAAUAUUAACAAUGGAUUAUCACAAAUUAUUUUAUUAUACUUGCACUAUAAUUUAAGUUGAAUAUUUGUGAAUACCAAAAUAAUAAUAACUUGACAUUGUGUUAAUAAUAACACAUGAAAAUAAGGAUAUUUUGCAUUUGAAUCAAAUAUUAUUUUUAUUAUACUUUAAAUUUAUAUAUAUCAUUUAUCACAAUACUAAUGAAUUUGAGUUUAAAUAUUUCAUAUAUCAUAAUAUUAAUGAAUUUAAAUACAUAUUUUUUACUUUACAAUAUCAUGUUUAAAAUGGAUAUUUUAUUUUCUUAAAAAUAUUUUUUAACAGUAACAAUAAACAUUGUCAAACUUUUCAACCUCAAUAAUUGACGGACCUUUUGUAAAACAGUGUAAUAAUUAAAUAGUUUUUUUUUUGAACUAUGUAUAUUCUAUCGAUUUAUAUUUUUUUAUACAAUAUUUAAAUUACCCAUAAUUUCACUCUAACUUUUAAACUGAAUAAAAACGCAUUUUAGUAUGUUCAAACUAACCUCCUUUUACAUUUACAAUAAUAUCAAUACUAAUUAAUUUAAUACUCAAUCAACAAAUAAUAUAUUAUUUUUAGUUUUACUUGAAAUUAAGAUUCGAUUUAUUAAUGGGGUAUUGAUAUUUUGUGAACAAUUUUCAGCACACUUGGUGGGCAGUCCCAUGUGCAUAUUAAAUCAUAUAGAUCUUAACAACCAAGGCUUAUUUGGCGAUAAUAUAUAAUUAAAAUUUUAACUUCUGCCUGAGCAAUCAAUGGAUAGUGAAACGAUUUGGAAGAAUAUAAAUCACAAGUGCACAAAAAAAAUAUCAACUAUAACUAAAUUUUAUCAAAUUAUUUUAAAUAAGCUUCGGAUCAUAUCUGUACUUUUUGACAUGAUGUCUAGAAUUAUUCACGGCAUUUCAUUAACUUAUAAAUAGAAGAACAAUACACUUCAACAUACUUGAACCUGUAUAUUCUUACAUUGACAACAAUACUCAUAUUAAUCGAACUAAACUUGAGUGUGAUUAGGAGAACUUUGAUAGUAUUUCAUUUUCAAAUUUGUUACUCUUAGAAGUUAGAACUUAAAAAUAAUUUAAUUUCAUUCAUGACGGUCAACUACUAUUUAAUAUUGAAUCGAAUAUGUCACAUCAAUCCCAUAUGAAAUUCGAAAGAAGAACACAUAAAAAGGGAAUCCGCCACUUAGUCACAAGAACCAUUCAGAUAGACUUCCACAUGAUCUUAAUAAGAUGAAAACUUUUUGUCUAAAUUUUCCUUUAAAUAAAUGACGGUGCAAUUUAACCGAAAAACUUAGAGAAGGAGAAUUAGGGUUCAUUAAUUGGUCCGGUAGUUGUAAUUUCGUUUGUUUGCCUCAAAGGGUUGAUGGUUUUGGGUAUGAUAGCACAUGAAUUCCCAUUUGUUUUGUCAUAGUUUUACUUCAAAUAAUACACGUUGAAGAAAUAAAUACUAUGGAGGAGGGGUUGGCCAUCGAUCCUCAUUUUACUCAAAGGGUUUUAUUCUUGGAGGAUUGUAAUUAAAUGUAGGGUUAAAUGUGUGAAAAAAUCCAACCAAAUCAUGGAAGGAUACAUAUUCAAAGAUGUUAAUGAAAGGGAGGGGGGGAGGGGGUUUGCCAAAAAUGAUAGAGGAGGUGAAGAGAGUAGGGACAGUGGGAGCUUGCACCUAAAAUGUGUAGAUGCACCAAAUGAAAUGGUUACGUGCUGGCAGUGGUUUCUUUCAAUCGGCUCUCAAUUUCUGCAAAUGCCAAAAUGCAUAUAUUUCCUCCCUCCACACAUCAUUCUCUCUUUGGUUUCAAAGUUGGAAGUUUAGCCAUUUACAAACCUUAUUUAUUCAUGGUGGAAUUGAGGAAACCUUGUGUGAAUUGGAAGCCUUUCGAUUUCAGUUUCAAUCACCCCCUCCUUUCUAUCUCUUGCACCUUCCUGCUAGCUUUUCACCCCUACUUUUACAGAAAGAAGUAACAACAUAAAUAGCUAGUCAACUAUAACUAAUAUCGAUUUUAGUAUUCAAUAUUUCAUUCCGCCUAUCCAAAUGGUACAUGUUACUAACAACGUUAAGUAAAAUAUGAUCUGACAUACUUCAUAUAAAAGAAUAAAAUGAUAUUAAAACAUAAAAGGGGCGUGACAUUAUUGGCAAAGACUGAGGUCCUAGAUUUUGAAAGUCUAAGUUUGAGUCUCACUAUCUGCAAUCACGAUGUAUGCAACUCCCUCUCUCACCAUGUGCAUAUAUGUGGCUUUUGUCUAGUGCUUCCUUCGCUCUGCAUUGUAUUGGUUAGAUUCCACAUUUUACUUGGCCGAACAAAUAUUUAUACUUUAAUUUGUGCAUAUUAAUUGUAUUAUCUUUAUAUUAGUGAAACUCUAAAAAAAAGUGACAUAUGACAUCAUAAUAUAAUGUCACCUAUUUGAAAUAAAAUUAAUUAUUUUAAAUUUAAAUUUUUUUUUUGGAGAAUAAAAUAUAUUUCCUUAUCUUUCUUAUGCAAUAUUUUUCCUUCUCUUUAUAUCUUUUUCUUCUUUUUUUUUCAAAUGCUUUCUUUUACUUUUGACAAUUUAAAAAAAAAUAAAAUUUAGUUAUUUGAAAUAAUUUUAAAUUUAUUUUAGUUUUGUAUUAUAGUUUAUAAAUUUUAAAAUGUUUUUGCCUAAAUAUUUAAAUCAGAACAUAUCAAUUAUCUUAAAUUUUAAAAUUUUAUAUUCAAAAUACAUUUUCAUUUGUUUUAUUCCAAACUUAAUAUAAAUUCAAAUUUUACUAUUUAUUUAAAAAAUAAAGCUAUUGUUCGCUUUGGCAUGCGAUAUCAACAACCCGUUUGUCAGUUUUAUUUUUCAAAAUUAAAAUAAUAAUUUUUUGGCAUAAUCAUUUUUUUUAUCCUUCAACUUACUAAAAAUUUUAUUUUAGUCUUUAUUUAAUUUUUUGCUUCUUUUCGUUCUCAAACUUACAUUUUUUGUCAAAUCAUCUCAAAAUGGAUGUAAAAGUUGUUUGUUAACUUUGCUGACAAUGGCAUUCGCAUGGAUUGCUACGUAAAUGACACGUUAGUAUUUAAUUAAUUUUAAUAAUUUUUAAUUUUAAAAAUAGUUUUUAAUAUUUUUUUUGAAUUUUUAAGUUUUAAAAAUAUGAUUAAACAUUGAUGUGUUUUCCAUGUGGCAAACCACAUGUAUGCAACGUCAACAAAGUUAAAAAACGGUAAUUUUAUUUAUUUAUUUUGAGGUGAUUUGGUAAAAAAAUACAAGUUUAAAGACUACAAAAAAUGAAAAAUUAAAUAAAAGAUAAAAAAAAAGUUUAUAAAAGUGAAAGGCUAAAUAAAUCAUUAUGUCCUAUUUUUAUGAACGUGAUAUCAUUUUGAACCAUACAUUGGUUAACCUUUUGUCAUUGCUUUUAGAACAUUAUGACUUAUUGUUCAACUAUUUAAGUUUAAAUUUGAAUUUGGAUUUAGAUUUAGAUACUUAAAUUUUAUAUUUGGAAUUUAUAAAUUUAAAUUAAUGGUUUUAAGAUUUUUUUUUGAAGAAUAAAAUAAUUUUAAAUAUAAGAUUAUGAUUUCAAUUAGGGAUAAAUUUUAAUUUAAUAUGCAAUUUAAUGCAUAAAUAUUAAUUUGGUGUAACUAUAUAUAUGAAAUUCUUUUAUGUAGAUUCAUAUUUUCAUAUUUAAAGAAAUAAAAAGUAAUAUCAACAUUGCACAAACAAACAAAAUAUUUAAAUAAAGAGAUAACUUUUAUAUUUUUUUAUAAGAUAUAUAUGUUUGAUAUUCAAGACCAACACAUAUUGAACUAGAAAGAGGACAAAAUAUGAUUAUAAAAAACUUAAACUUUUAUUCUAUCUCGAUUGUUUUUCUAUAACUUGAAAUUUUGGUCCAAUCAUACGCAUCCAUGUCGUGGAUAAAAUCAUGAAAAUUUUUAAAGUCAAUUGACAUUUUUGACUUUCUAUUAAAUUAAAAAAUAAAGAUUAAAAAGAAAAAGAAGAAAAAUGGAAUUCACUUAAAAUGGACAUUGGAAGAGAAAAAUGGCUAUUUAUCGAUGUUGACCAUUAAUAUCAAUUACUAACAAUUAAAUGGGAAAUAGAGAUUAGUGAAGAACGAGGGGAGAAAAAAAAGAAAAGAAGAUGGAGACUAAUCAACCAUAACCUCCUUGACCUAAGGUAGAUACAAUGUUGUUCUACCCUAGGUCGGCUAGACUAUGGUUGAUUAGCACAUUUUUUCCUUUUUAUUUGCCUAUUCACCUUCCACUUUCUUUCUCUCUCUUUUUUUAAUAUUCUGAAAUUUUAAUUUUAUAAAAUUUAGAAAAAUAAGA